CCGGGCAGGCCUGGGAGUGCCAGGGGGGCGCUUCAGUCUACGUGUGUUGUCUAUAAUUUAUUGCUUGUAUCUUCAUAAAUAGGAAGAAUUUCUUUUUGUUGAAGGUGGCAGAGCACUGGAGCAGGCUGCCCAAGGAGGUCGUGGAGUCUCCUUCUCUGGAGACACUCCAAACUCACCUGGACGCGUUCCUGUGUCGCCUGCUCCAGAACCCGCAGUCAGGCAGGUAGGAAUUGGAUUCACAGUCUGCUCACAGAGCGGGAGGUAUAUCUAAACCAGACAGAAGGAAGAGACAAAGAGACAGCACAUUGACUACCCCAGACUGAGGUUCUUUCCCCCGAAAAGAAUCUAAAUUGGAUUCACAGCAUGAAACCUAUCGCGUACUUCGUGUCUUUGGCUACAGACAACUGGCUUACUCUUUGCUGUUACACAGAAUUGAGUGACAAAAUUUAGAAGUUUACAGUCCUGAGACCCAAGAACUAGUGUUCAUUUUUAUAAGCUCUGUUUUGAAGAUUUCCCUAAAUUGAUGUCCUACAAGGUAAUCAUAUUAGAGGGAUUCUCCUCUGCAACGUCAAGCACUGGAAUUGGAUUGAAGUCAUAAUCACUGAGCAUAGUAGAGACUUGGGCAUGUAUUCUGCUGAAUGAGGAUGCAUUUGGGCAAAUAUUUAAGGACUAUUUUGAAAGCAGCUCUAUGGACUUGUUAUCAUUGACAGAUACAACAAAGCUGAAUGAGCAGCAAUAAUUGGCAAGCUUCUCCCAACAACAUACCAAAAUACUUGCAGAUUUGUCAAUAUU